rnacentral:misc_RNA from 1 species
GUAAUUAUUAUAGUUUUCAGACGCUGAUUUAAAAUUAAAAGGGUUAUAGUUUGUCAUUGGCAGGCAAGCCUACCAAGGAAACUUGGGUACGCAAAAGACAAGGAAGGAGAGAAGGGACCGAAAUCCCCCUCAUAACAGUGGAAAUCCACCGAAAUUAAUGAUCCUUCCGCAGGUUCACCUACGGAAA